CUAAUGCCGACCACCACCACCAAUCAUUCACACAGAUAAAUGUAUACUUAUAAACUGUGAAACAUUUUGAAGGGAAAUCAUAAAAGAACAAAUAACAUGAGGAAGAUACACUUAAGAGCGGGUGAUCAGAGAAAGUUUCUCUGAGGACGUAACAUUUAAGCUAAGUAACACCUGAGGAUGCCAACAUUUCUUUUGGGACCAUCCUCAUGUCACUUCCAUCACUGAAUAACAGUUUUUCCAGCUGUAAAAUGGAGAUGAAAAUAGCAAAAGACUAUAAGUAACCCAUAUAUCUACCAACAGGAGCCUGCUUGAAUGAAUGAUGAUUCCAUUUACACCACCGAGUAUGCAGUUAUUACAAAGUAGGGGGCAGGUACUUUCCCAAAAGGCACAUCAAUAAAUCCAAGGAAAAAUUUAAUACACCAUUUCAAUAAGGUAACAAUGGAGUAAAAUAGCCCUGUGCAAAUCAGCCUAUCUCCAGGUGUUGCAGUUAUUUUCAAAGGCUGCUGGCAACACUCUCCAACCAGAAUAACCCUUCCUGACCUUGCAAGCCUCCUGUGGCUUCUCUCCACUGAGAGCAGAAACAGGCCAAAUACCUUCCUGUGGCAUUUGACACCCUGCACAGCUUGCCCUUAGUGCGUUGCUGCGGAAUCAUCCGCAUUUCCUGCUCAUGAAGCCACAGGCCUGGGGUUCUCAGUCUGUGGUCCCUCACACCUGUGUUGGAAUCACUUGGGCACUUGACUGAAACUCCAGCGUCCUGGAGCCUACUAGAGAUGCCCGAACUUGGGGUCCAGCUUUGAGGCAAGUGAAGAACUGAGGACCCCAUCCACACUGAGUGCUUCUCCAGGACCCCAGGGAGGACAGAAGUCAGCCUUAGGAUGCUGAGGCUGGGGCAGCAGCACUUCAAGGCUGGAGAGUUUGACACCCAUUCCAACCUUGGCUUCCCCACUACCGUGUGAGGCUGGACAAAGCACACAACAUCUCCAGGAUUCAGCUCCUUCCAUUGAACGCUUUGUGUUCUGACCUCUAUGGGAGCUGAAUGAGAUCAUGUAUGUUAUAUGACCAACAGCACAUGGAUGUUACUGCUAUGCUGCUGUAAUUCAGGACUACUGGGUUCCUAUGGGAAACUGGAAACCAGAGCCCCAGACAGGCCUUGGUUACAGAAAAACAAUGAGAACUUCCUAUGGCUGUGUCGGCAGGUCUGGUUGUCACCAAGAUCCUCUAAUUCAGAGACUCCCAACAGACACUUCCUCAUUUCUGGAGCACCUUCCUGUGCCAUGAGCCAGGCCAGGUUGAGGAGCUUUCUCCUUUGUGCUUUGUCCUGUGGAUCCUGAGGCAAGGGCUGGGCUGGGGAUCACACAGCCUCCCCUACCUGGAAACAUAGCUGAGAACCCGAGGCAGGAACUGGAAAGAGGAAGAUGGGGUCUUGAGGAGGAAAGAGUGGUAUGACAGACCCGCCUGGACUCCUUAGCGCUCUCAGGACUUCACCGCAAACAAAGGGGAACUCUGUUAUCGGGAGCAAAACCUGAACCACCAACGCCUGGAGAACAGCGACAUCUCCCGGCUGCCUGCAGCCAGGAUGCUCAUCCCUGGCCAGAGCCGAGGGGCCAUUCUAAAACCAUCUGGGACGCCUGACACCUUUAGUAUCCCGUAAUA